ACAUUGGAUACAUGCUACAGUGAAAGAGGGCAUCAAGGAGCACAUUCGAUCUUACCCAAGAACCCAGAACCACUACUCUGAGAUGAAGGGGGAUGUACACAGAGAAUACCUCAGCCCUGAUCUGAAUUUGUUGCGAAUGUACCGACUCUACAAAGAGAAGAAUACCACAUCAUCUGCAAAAUUCUGGGUUUAUAGGGACAUUUUCAAACAGCAGAGUCUCAAUUUUGGCCAACCCAGGAGUGACACCUGUGGCAAAUGUGACGCAUUCUUCACUAAGAUGUCAGCAGCAACAUCUGAAGAGGAGAAGAGGAAGAUUGCAGUUGAAAGUGAGUUGCACCAUCGAAGCCGAAAAGGCCUACACACAGCUUCAAAGUGACACUGAGUGGGCUAAAGCCAAUCCUGACUGCCAUGUAAUUUCUGUGGAUCUACAGGGGGUGAUGUACAGCCCUAAUCUGACCCACUCUGAUGUCCACUACCAGCGGCAGCUGUCAAAUUUUAACAUUUGCAUCCAGGAACUUGGAAAAGAAGAUCCUGCAUACAUGUGUGUUUGGCAUGAGGGGAUUGCACACCGAGGGUCCAUUGAGGUGGCAAGCUGCAUAUUGAAGUGGGUGAAGACAAAAUUCACGCCACUCACCAAACCAGAGGUGCGCAAGUUGAUCAUCUUCAGUGACAGAUGCUGUGGGCAGAAUAAGAACUGAUGGAUGCUCAAUCUGAUGUCGAUACUCGUCUCUAUGGGUUACUUUACCCAAGUUGAGCAGAAGUUCAUGGUCUCUGGUCAUCCUUUUCUUCCUUGUGAUGGAUCUUUUGCCACCAUCGUGAAGAGGCGCAAGGUGUCAGUCCUUCAUACAACUGAUGAUGUUUCAAAGAUGAUACUUGAAGCACAACCAGCAAAACCAUUCAAGUUGAGGAUCCUUGGAAUCUGUACGCCAAACAGAGCCACAGUCUAUUUGAGGGAUGGAAGUCGUGGCUGAUCUCCAAACCAAAACAAGGAGCUACACCUCAACCUCCCUAUUUUGCGAGCCACUACCCUAGAGCAUAUGAGAGUCCUCUGCCCAUUAAAAAAAAAAACAAGUACCAAGAUCUGAUGACCAUGAUCAACGACUUGCCAGCUGCUGCACGCUCUUUUUAUAAAUCACUGCAGAGUGAAUAAUUUGAUGUUAAACCAAGCUACGUAAUUAACCGUUUUUUCUGUGAGUUUGAUCCCCUGAACCUGUAUAGAAUGUUUAAUCUGAAUACAUUUCAGAAGACAUGUCACCCCUAUUGUAGGAAGUUAAAUGUGUAGUACGUGUUUUCUAUGUGAAUCAAUGUGUAUGCAAUGUGUACAGCACAAUAUAUUGAAUUCAUUUUAAGAUGUUCCUAGUGUAGAAAAUGUUAUGUACAAUGUGUUCUGUUGAGAAUUAUUUUGUGUGUGAUCAUUUGAACUUUUUUUAAUCGGAAUUAAUUAAAAACAAAAGUCAUCACAUACAGUAUGUGAUUAUUCAUUUGAUCUUGAUUCCCUCUUUUUUUUAUUCAUUACAAUAUACAGUACAUCUCUCUGUCACCACAUUUAUCAUUAACUCUAAGCAGUUAAUACUUAUGAGAGUCCUCUGUCCAUCAGUCCUCUGCCCCUCAGUACAGAAGGACAUUUCUUGUUUUUAGCAUGGGUUUAACGCAAUUCAAAACUUAAUUGCUGAUCAUAGUGUUAAACGCAAAGAGAAUGGUUUUCUGAACGUUUUGUAAUAUUGACCUUCGGGACCUGCAUAAUGGACAUGCAUGUUGGCACAUCACAUUGAUCCAUAUUUAAUAUGUACAAGUUGGGCUUGUUUUGAUUUAAUUAAUUUAAUUGUAUUCUAUUUUUGUAGUUAUUCUAUGGUAUGUUCACAUUGAGGACUUCAUUUUAAAUGAGACUAAGAUUUCAUGACUCAACUUUUAAGAAAGUAAUCAGUGCUAAAGUUGAUAGACCACCUUUAAAUGAACCUCCAUACAAAUUAAUGAACUACAUAUUGUAUUUAAGUUAUUUACAUGAAGGGCAUCUGUACUUAACAUAUCAGGUGUUAAAAAAGUACAUCUUACAAGAGUCAUGCAAAAUGUCACAUAUGCUGUUCUUCCACAAACUGAAAUCAUCACUGGAGAUAUACUGUUCUUCCACAAA